rnacentral:lncRNA from 1 species
AGCCGGUGGAGAUCGAGCGGACGGCCUUCGUGGACUUUGUGGAGAAUGACAAAGAACAAGGCAACGAGAAGACCAACAACGGCACUCACUACAAGUUACAGCUCCUCUACAGCAACGGUGUCCGCACGGAACAGGACCUCUAUGUCAGGCUCAUCGACUCGGUCACCAAGCAGGUGAGCCGGAGGCCACUUGGCUUCUCUUCGCCUGUCUCUGACCCCGACCCCCAAACCCCCCAGUUUGUUU